rnacentral:sRNA from 1 species
CAACCUGGGCUGGAUUGAUAAAGUGUACAUGGGUAUCAAUUCCACCUGCUGUAAUGAUUCUACCUUCUCCAGCGAAAACUUCGGUAGAAGCACCUAUUACAAUAUCAACAUUAUCCAUAAUUAAUGGAUUUCCGCUUUUCCCAAUUCCAGAAAUUAAACCAUCACGUAUCCCUAUGUCGGCUUUAUAAAUGCCUGUAUAAUCAAGAAUAAUAACAUUCGUUAUGACCGCAUCAGGUAUACCGUCCCCACGUGUUACUAGUGGAUGCUGACCCAUACCAUCACGAAG